AUCCAGCUGACGUGACCCAAAUAGAGCAAAACGCGCGUCCAGCUGGAU
rnacentral:hammerhead_ribozyme from 1 species